rnacentral:rRNA from 1 species
UACGUAGGGGGCAAGCGUUGUUCGGAAUUACUGGGCGUAAAGGGCGCGUAGGCGGCACGACGAGUCGGGAGUGAAAGCUUGGGGCUCAACCCCGAGACGCCGGUGGAAACCGUGUGGCUAGAGUCCGGAAGAGGAGAGUGGAAUUCCUGGUGUAGCGGUGAAAUGCGCAGAUAUCAGGAAGAACACCCGUGGCGAAGGCGGCUCUCUGGGACGGUACUGACGCUGAGACGCGAAAGCGUGGGGAGCAAACAGG